AAGGCCCUCCAGUAUGCAUUAUAUUUCAUAUUUAUAUUGUACUAAAGACCAUACAGUGUACAAUAUAGUCAAGUAUUCUACCUUUGUACUUCAUCUUUAAUAUUAUUUACCAAGUAGAAAAAGCAUGUACUUGAACUUAAAACUCUAGGAAACUAGAAUUACAACCUCUAAGUGUAUUAUCAGUUUCUUUUAUUGAUAUAAUCUGAUCUCUUUAUUGAUUUAAGAUACAUUUAAUUUGCAUGUAUUGAUGUUGGUGUGAUGAGCUAGAUGUUCAGUGUAUAAAGCACUAGUAAUAUGUAUCAUAAUGAUUAUAUUCUAAACUGUAUAUGUAUGACCUCUGUCAAAUAGACCUUUAUGUUUUUAUAAUUUGAAUAAAUACUCCUGAUACCUGAAAAUAGUAUUGGCAUAUAAGUUGCAGUUUAUAUGAGUGAUAUACUGUAAUAUCCAUGGCCGUACUCAGAUUCCUUUUGCUUGGUAGGCAGGACGCAUCAACUUUUUCGAAAAAACUUGAAAGCGAGGGAGCAUUUUGUAAAGUGAUAUUGGUGAAUUUUGUGGAAAUUUUCAGUAAGAAAUGUAAGUUUUCAAAAAUUUCUAGGGGGACAACUGCCCCCCCUUGCUGCAUAUAGCCAUGGUAAUAUCAAUAGUUUUGUUUUUUAGUAUUUAGGGUAUGUGAGUCUAAGCUUAGAAGGUAGAAUAAAUUCUCAAAAUGUCUUUAUAACCAAUUCAAUACAAUUCAUUCAGUUUUGGGUUUGUUGGUUUCAAUUUUGAACAGAUAUAGGCCUACUUGUUUUCAUUCAUAUUUAAUUUUUAGUUUGAUAUGUUUUAUAUUACACUGUAUGAUAAUAAUAUUCACUGAUGUCUAAUAGAGACAUAGUUGAAUACAUUGAUCAUUGUUAAUACAACCUGUGAUGGUGGGUGUUUCA